UGGGGAAUUUUGGACAAUGGGCGCAAGCCUGAUCCAGCCAUUCCGCGUGAGUGAAGAAGGCCUUCGGGUUGUAAAGCUCUUUCGCAAGGGAAGAAAACUUACAUUCUAAUAAAGUGUGAGGCUGACGGUACCUUGAUAAGAAGCACCGGCUAACUACGUGCCAGCAGCCGCGGUAAUACGUAGGGUGCGAGCGUUAAUCGGAAUUACUGGGCGUAAAGCGUGCGCAGGCGGUUUGGCAAGUCAGAUGUGAAAUCCCCGAGCUCAACUUGGGAACUGCGUUUGAAACUGCCAGACUAGAAUAUGUCAGAGGGGGGUAGAAUUCCACGUGUAGCAGUGAAAUGCGUAGAGAUGUGGAGGAAUACCAAUGGCGAAGGCAGCCCCCUGGGAUAAUAUUGACGCUCAUGCACGAAAGCGUGGGGAGCAAACAGGAUUAGAUACCCUGGUAGUCCACGCCCUAAACGAUGUCUACUAGUUGUUGGUGGAGUAAAAUCCAUGAGUAACGCAGCUAACGCGUGAAGUAGACCGCCUGGA
rnacentral:rRNA from 1 species